CACGCAGUAAACGAUGAUUACUCGAUAUUGGCAUUGCCAGUGUCUAAGCGAAAGCAUUAAGUAAUCCACCUGGGGAGUACGAUCGCAAGGUUGAAACUCAAAGGAAUUGACGGGGGCCCGCACAAGCGGUGGAGCAUGUGGUUUAAUUCGAUGAUACGCGAGGAACCUUACCAAGGUUUGAAUGUAGAGUGACCGCUCUGGAAACAGAGCUUUUCUUCGGAACAGUCUACAAGGUGC
rnacentral:rRNA from 1 species